rnacentral:rRNA from 1 species
GGAAGCACCGGCUAACUCCGUGCCAGCAGCCGCGGUAAUACGGGGGGUGCAAGCGUUGUUCGGAAUUAUUGGGCGUAAAGCGCGUGUAGGCGGUCUGAUUAGUCUGAUGUGAAAGCCCUGGGCUCAACCCAGGAAGUGCAUUGGAUACUGUCAGACUUGAAUACGGGAGAGGGUAGUGGAAUUCCUAGUGUAGGAGUGAAAUCCGUAGAUAUUAGGAGGAACACCGGUGGCGAAGGCGGCUACCUGGACCGAUAUUGACGCUGAGACGCGAAAGCGUGGGUAGCAAACAGGAUUAGAUACCCUGGUARWSCACGCCGUAAACGAUGAGAACYARGUGUCRCRGRUAASRKACC